rfam:Archangium gephyra strain DSM 2261, complete genome.
GGGGUCAUCGUCCAACAGGAAGAUGCCGCCAUCGCAAGGCGGAGAUCCGGGUGCGACUCCCGGUGACUCCA